AAUAGAUACCCUGGUAGUCCACGCUGUAAACGAUGAGUGCUAAGUGUUAGGGGGUUUCCGCCCCUUAGUGCUGCAGCUAACGCAUUAAGCACUCCGCCUGGGGAGUACGGUCGCAAGACUGAAACUCAAAGGAAUUGACGGGGGCCCGCACAAGCGGUGGAGCAUGUGGUUUAAUUCGAAGCAACGCGAAGAACCUUACCAGGUCUUGACAUCCCAUUGACCGCUAUGGAGACAUAGCUUUCCCUUCGGGGACAGUGGUGACAGGUGGUGCAUGGUUGUCGUCAGCUCGUGUCGUGAGAUGUUGGGUUAAGUCCCGCAACGAGCGCAACCCUUGUUCUUAGUUGCCAUUCAUUUAGUUGGGCACUCUAAGGAGACUGCCGGUGACAAACCGGAGGAAGGUGGGGAUGACGUCAAAUCAUCAUGCCCCUUAUGACCUGGGCUACACACGUGCUACAAUGGACGGUACAAACGGUUGCCAACCCGCGAGGGGGAGCUAAUCCGAUAAAACCGUUCUCAGUUCGGAUUGUAGGCUGCAACUCGCUAC
rnacentral:rRNA from 1 species